GACGAAUCUAUUAUUGAACUAUAUCCAAAAUUGAACCAACAAAAUGUUCGUCAUUUCCAACAAAUUCCUGCACACAUAUUUUCUCUUUACAAAUAUACGACAUAAAUUUCUGGUGACGACAUAAAUUUCUGGAGCAGCCAUGAAGAGGUGUCGCUUUUCCAAUCCAAAAUUCCAGAAAUACCUGCCCAAGGUUUACCAAAAUGCACAGAUUUCUCGUCGGGAAUUGGAACCAGGAAUGCAAUACCACAUGAAGUAAUCUGCCAUCAAGCACCAUCAUCAUGCACAAUUUCGGAAGACGCCAAGCAGAGGAAGUGGGGGACAUAAAUACUUCAUUGCUUCUUGGAAUUAAGGUUAUCGAAGUGAAUUACUUGAUUUUUAGUUUAAGUAUAAUUAAUUUCGAAAAAGUACUUAUCGUUAGAUAUGAGUUCGUUAAUUAUUAUAUUUAAGUUUAGUUUAAUUAAUAUUAUUUCGCUAGUUUAAAAAAUUGGGUGUGUUUGAAAUAAGCACAAAUAGCAAGGUCUGUCUUUGGCAAAACAAAAUGUGAAAAGCUAAAGUUCAAUGUACAAUCGUUCCAAACUGCUCAGCUACCACAAAGUAUAGUAAAGGGUGUUAAUAA